ACCCACUGGGAUAGCUCAGUUGGUAGAGUAUGAGACUUAAUCUCAGGGUCAUGGGUUUGAGCAGCAUGUUGGGCA